rfam:Enterococcus sp. 6C8_DIV0013 scaffold00001, whole genome shotgun sequence.
AACAGAGUAGGAAACGAUGCGUAAAGUGCUAGUGGGAUGGGAUGUUGCUCACUGGACGAAAAGUGCUAAUGGAGUACUUGCGACAUGGUUUCUGCAUUCGCUGCA